rnacentral:rRNA from 1 species
AUCGCAGCCUGCAACCCGGCUGCGUGAAGCUGGAAUCGCUAGUAAUCGCGGAUCAGAAUGCCGCGGUGAAUACGUUCCCGGGUCUUGUACACACCGCCCGUCACACCAUGGGAGCCGGAAACGCCCGAAGCCAGUGGCCUGACCGAAAGGAGGGAGCUGUCGAAGGCGGGUCCGGUGACCGGGGUGAAGUCGUAACAAGGUAGC